ACCCAAGAAUAUCAGGGGAAGCCUGACUCCUUCCAGUUCAGCGAUGCCCGAAGAGGAGAGUCAACUGAUAUCUUCAGUUAUAACCUGAGGCCUGCUAUCCACUCCUUACUACUAUCAGGUACCAAUCUCAGGAAAGGCCAUUGACACUGGGUAGAAGAGUGAGUUCACUGAAACCAUGGAUGGUUGCCCUUAUUGUCAGAGCUGUUAUGUUGAUUCUGGUGAUACUGAUUGGUCUCCUUGUUUAUUUUUUGGCAUAUGGCUAGAAGUUUUACUAUUACCAGACCUCCUCCCAGAUCCCCAGUAUUGAAUAUAAUCCUGAUUUUUCAGUAGAACACUCAAAACUUAGCACCGACCUGAAACAAAAAGUCAGUAACGAGCAUCAAAAUCUGGCCAAAAAAGUUUAUUUAGAGCCUAAAAAGCUGAUCUUUCAAUCACAUCCAUGAGGAUGAUAACUGAGCUGGAAUGAUACUGAGUGAUGAAUAGAUAAGAUAUUUCAGAGAUCCAAUUUAAACCAUCAUUACAUCAAGUGUCAAGUUGUCAACUUUAGGCCAAGUAAUGACAAUUUGAAAGCAGAUGUAUUGCUUAAAUUUCAGUUUAUUCCUAACAAUGAGAACGCAAUAAAAACACAAGCUGAUAACAUUUUUCAUCAGAAGUUGAAAUCAAAUGAAAGCUUCUUGAAGACAGACACUUCAUUACCUUAUCUUAGAGGAUUCACGGUUCCCAAAAUAGCUGUGUCCUUUGUAAAGUAAUGAAGAUUUCCGAGUAAGGUUAAGGUCCCUUUCCCAAUAUGCUACGGGAAGUUGAGGUAGAGAUCAUAAGUAAUGAUAUAUGUAAUCAAGUUCAUGUGUAUGUAUCAUCAGGAAUGAUACGUGCUGGAUUCUUGUCAGGAAAACUAGAUGCCUGUAAGGGUGAUUCUGGAGGUCCUCUGGUUAUUGCACGUGAUAGAAAUGCCUGGUACCUUGUUGGAAUAGUAAGCUGGGGAAUAGACUGUGGAAAAUAAAACAAGCCAGGACUUUA